UGACGUAGCGUGUGAAUUUGCGUGCGCAGUAAGGAUGCGCAGAAACAAUUAGCACGAACGUCUUAAAAAAAAGCGAUUCUAUCAGCUCCUGGAUUAUCUCAGUGCUCUGUAAAGCACAGACUGGUCUGACAAAAUCGAUCACGACACAAACUUGUUUAGGAAAACCUGGAUUGUCCGCAUGGGCUCUACAGAGUAUAUAUACGUAACAACUGACCUUCCAAGGGAGUCGAAUCUACCACUAAAAAUCUCUUCGGUCCUAUGUUUUUUGAUCUGUGAAGCAUAGACUGGUCCUACAUCCAAAUUGCCGGCAGAAGAUAAAAAAAUAAAUGUAUCGGAACGAUUGGACUGUCUGCAUGUGCUGAAUGGAUCUUGAGCUUUGUACAAGAGAUAUUGGGUGUAAGAACUGGCCAACAAGGGAGCUAGUUCCACCCUGCAAAUUCUCUUCCUGAGUUUCUUAAUCUGUGAAGCAUAGACUGGUCCUACAUCCAAAUUGCCGGCUCAAGAUAAAAAGACUUGUUUAGGAAGAAUUAGACUGUCUGCAUGCUUUUUACGGGUAUGGGUAAAGUAACGUACCUGUGGAAUAAGAACUUAUUCCGGGACUGUCUGCAUUCACUUUAUGGAGAGCACUUAACGUUCCUUGUUUGUGCUCGUGUAUUAUUUUCAACUCACCGCGGGUUUUUUUCCCGCAGUUUUCCAUCUUUUGUUAAAGGGAGUCAAGGAUGAAUUGAACCAAACGUGAGGGAUACAGAAGUUAACUUAAUCGUGUUUUCGCGAAACAGGAGCAAAGGCAAAGAACUUGACCGCACAGAAAUUAACGUCAGGGAGACUGGACACCAGCUUUCGGCGCUAGGAUGUCUGGGAACGUUUGAAAAGCUAAGAAAAAAGACAGCUGUCUCUGGAGUAAAAACAUUCCAGGUAAAAAGCUGUUUAAGCUAUAUCCACUAAACGUUUUUGAUCAUUGAGAUCAUCAUCAUGUCUACUGUCAUUAGUGAACUUGGAUAAAACGAAUUUUUGUCAUAAUGAAACGCCAGGGGUUUCAUCAACGUUUUCAGCAGAAGGGCAAGUGGUUUUCACAGGCGGGGAAAAACUGAACUUCUUUAUUUGCUCUAAGUGGUCAAACCAGGCGGGUAAAAAUCAUACUCGUGGCCGGUCAACUUGCCCGGUGCCCGGCCCUUAAUGAAACCGUCAGCCACAUGUUUUAGAGAAAACAAUGUCGUACAAAAAGAACAUCGCCGCGAGCUACUCUCGAACCCUUAAAAAAGUUCGUGGCGCCGGUUGAAGCCAUGUCGGCGUCAUUUCCAGUCCAUAGAUGAUAUAGGAGGUAUACGUCUUUGGUUGGCCAAAAGGUAUAUAUUGGCAGAUAAAUUAUUUGCCCUAUUCCUUCAAUAUAAGCGUUUAGGAUACACUAAAAUCUAUUACAAAUAUCUAAGGCACGGAAGGCUCAGUCAAUUUAUUGCUGUUUGUAAGAAAAAAAGUUCUUAUGUGCGUUAGGAGCAGGAUUCCCGACGCUUUGCACUGUGUGAAGCGCGCACCAAACCACUGCGCCACCCGGCUUUGACACAGAAUGCGUAGACAAAUUGAGUAGCAAUACAUACCAAUUUUGAACGCGCAUUAUGGUCAGCUGGUGGAACGUAAGCAGUGUACACUAUGUUACUUUUGUAGCGAAUGUUUUUUUGGUGACAUUUCAUCUCGAGACCAUUCAUUGAAAAAGAUCUUACUUAUCCAGACCCAAACGCGUAUGUAGGCCAUAGAACAUCCAAGUAAUUAUAGAUUUGUUAUUUUUACACCUGUCCAAAUUUUAUGAUAAACGAAUUUUAUCAUUAACGGUCAUAGAGAAGAGGACAGUGUCGUUGGUUGUUUGCGCUUUGGUAUUUUUAAAGUUAGUUUAUUGCAAUCAGUGAAGCCGCAUUUUGUGCAAAAGAACAUGUAAUAGAUGUGUUUACCGCGAGCAGCGAACGGCGCAAUUUGCAUCGUAUUUGCGUUCAUUCUUUCUCCUUCUAUUUUUAUUUUAUUAUUCGGAUAAGAGUAAAAUAUUUUUAUUCUUUUUGUUUCGUUUAGGUAUCAACAGCGAACAGUUUCCAAGUUUGAGAAAAUGGCUUUGGGAACCUUUUGCUCGCUAUCGGGAAAGUUCCUUCGUUAUUUGUCUGUGAGUUUGAGACGCCAUAGAGAUGACCAAUAAGGAGAAAGGCCAAAGAUAAAAGUCUUGGACGGAAAGCAAAACAUUAUAUGGAAAAACACCACCUCCCCGCUAGCCACGACUAACUAGCAUUUCUUUUAUACUUUAUAGCAAGAGUUUCGAGACGCCAUCCUUGUGGUACAACUUUGCACUUACGCAUGCGCGUUUCGUAUCAUACUCUUGAGUCAAAUUUUUCUAAGUCUUUUGGCGGGAAACGUUUCUUGCAUAUAAGUUCACUAGCGCGCUCUCUCUUUCAGAUGCCUUAAAAAUGACCAGUUUUAAGAAGUGUUUAAAGAAAAAAUUUCAAUCUUUGAAGGAAGACAAAAAUUGAUGUGGAACACCGCCACCACCCCACCACCACCACU
rnacentral:lncRNA from 1 species